AAUUCACCUAAUCUCUCUCCAAUAGUGCUAAUAAUGUUCCUCUGUCUUGUUUAUUUAGACGUAAGCUUUCUGAAGUGGACUGUCUCCUGCUCUGUGUUCAUGUGUAUGUGCGUAGGGCCUAGAUGUCAGCUGCAGCUUCUGCACAUUACUAUCUUGCACGCACAGUCGAAUUGUAUUUCCCUUGGUGUAUCAAAGUGGCAGCCUUCUAACAUCUACCACGCCAGGGUUCCUGAGAUGUAUCUACUCUUCAGAGAGACUGCGGUUAAUACAUCUUACUGGGGUGGAAUCUAA
rnacentral:lncRNA from 1 species